GGAGUUUCUGGUCAUUUAUCUCUGGUUAUUCUAUUUACUGAAGAUCAGACCUCCAACUGGUGCAUUUCGGGCAUUUGGGAUUUCAUUUUGUCUCGCCACUGCUGAAAACUUUACUAUGCUUUUGCAUUAACACAACACUCAUGUUACUUUUGCAUCUCUCUCAAAGAAUAGAAGAAAUGGCCUUAAGCAAAUGUAACAGUGGCCUCUCUAUUCGAGGAUCUGUGAUGAUGGGAGUGAACAAGCUUGCCUUUUCCCCAAGUGUCCUUAGAAGUCAAGAUCCUGUGACCUGGAAAGAAGACAUCAGGACUGGAUCUCCAGUGAUCAUUUCUGUGUUUUAUCUCAGUUACAGACCAUCUUCAGCUCUACAGUCAGCUCCAUCCACACACAGAACACUGGAGCUUCUUGUUUUGUAAUGAGCUGACCCUGCAAACAUUGAUGGGAAUUAUAUUUUAUCUAUAGUUUGGUUGUUAUCUGUUUGAAAAGUGAGUAAUGGAAUAUUGGUGGGAAUGUUCAACUUCUACUGCCUUACCAGCACCAUCUACCUCUGAUGUCGUGGGCCACCAUAAUAAAUAGGAGGCACUGAUUUCAGAGUAGCCCUUGUCCGCCACAUAAGUUGUGUUUGUUCCUUCUCCAACCCAUUUUAUUUUAUCCUUUGAAAAGUGAGAUGCAUGAGUCUUACAGAACUCGGUUUCCUUUUCAGUAUUUGCCUUAUUCGUGGUAGUAAUAACAACUGGCACCUUUAGGGGAAUUUAUUCAGUAUUCUAGAAGAUUACUGUAAAUAUUAAUGGCAGGUACACAUUGUACUCUCUUGGCAGCCCAAUAGGCCCAGUAACAUGAAGUUCAGAAACUGCAGGCAUUGUGCUCUGUUGUCUGCAGUAGUUUUCCCAUAGGCCUUUUUCCGUCUCUUGUUUCUAAAAACAACUUGCAACUGUUUCUGAUAGUAAAAUUAAAAAUAAAAUUAAAAAAAAAAAAAGUGAGAGACGAAGCUGAUGCAGUGAAGUCUAUUAAGAAAUGGGACUUAUGUAUCUUUUGAUGUUUUCACCUUUACUCUUUUCACAAGGCUGAAAUUAGAAAGGAAUCAAUAUAAUUUAGUAUAACUGAGGCUUGGUUUUAGAUCUUUACUUAACUUUACCUAGCUUUCUUGGAGAACUGUAUAGUUCCUGGCUUCAUGGAGGAAGAUAGCUGCUGAAAAACAACUGUUUUAAAAGAGAAAAGGCAAAAGCCUGUGUAGUUCUGUCUGUGUAUCCAGUCUCCUUUAAAUUUUCAGUCCUGUGGGUAAUACAUUAUCAGACUGAUUCCAGUUUCCUGUUUAUACAGUGUCUGGCUUUGAUGCGAAUACAACAGAUUAAGAAGCAGGAACGGAGUUCCUGUUUUAGUAAUUUCUCAUUGAGAUGUAUAUAAGCCCAAUGACACUCUGCUUGACAAUUAUUAAAAACAUCAGACCAGCAAGCACGUACAUUUCAUCAGUACCAAAGAUUUAAAGACAUACCACCUGAGCAGCAGCCCCACAGCUUCAUCUUUGAUCCAAGCUACAGAUUAGGAAGAAAUUCUGCAUGUAGUCUUAUAUGUGUUUUAAACUAAAAAGAUCAGUCUGGGAGGGCAUGAUAUUUUUGUACGAGUAAAUAAUUCUUGCAGUAAAGUAAAUCCUAAAGUUUCU
rnacentral:lncRNA from 1 species